GCAAACUGCUGUCAUGACCUAAAUGUUGAUCUAGUAUAGAAUUUGGUGAUUUAAUUUCCUGUGGGCUUUUAAUGGUAGUAUUAAAAGUGAAUCGAAUGGAACUAUGUAAAAUAUCUUUGUGGGUGUAUUUCUGUAUUUACUUUAAUGGCUGCUUUGCAACUUUUAAGAUUUUAGUAGCUCUCCAAGGCAUUCAUGUGAGCCAGUGCUAGGAACUUGUAUUAUAUAUUUGAGAAAUAAAGUCUUCCCAAAUAAAGGUGUGUUGGUGUUAAAUAUUUUGAGCCAAGUGCAAAAGGUUACAAAGAGCUAGGAAAUUACCACAACUCACAUCUAAUCCUCAUUCUUGCAUAUGUUAUGCAGUAAAUUAGCUGUUUGUUUUGAAAUCUGUAUUUUGAGGACAGGAAAUUGAACAUAUUAAUAAUCAUAUUCAGUUAUCCAUUUGUUAUAUUUAUACCCCUCCAUUUUUCAGGCCAGGGCGUGAGUUCCAUUAGUCUAUCAAACAGGUUAUGAUCAAGUAUAACUCUAUGAUCAAACAUAACCCUAAUCUACCACUGGACCCAAGCAAUAUUAUAUAUAGAAGCUACAUACCAAUAAAGGACCAUUGGAACCAAAACCUCUCUCAAACUACUCUCAGCACAUUUACAUACUGUUGGCUUUUUCUAUCCUCACUUCUAAGCACUUGUUUUGAAGAAAAGUGGAGAAUUCCUCUUCCACAUCAUCCUUGUAUAAUCUGACUGAGAUGUUAUAAUGCUGGUCAACAUCUCAACUGCUAAACUGUGAUGCUCUAAUUUGGAAUAUGACAAACAUGGCUUUUUAGAGGCUAACUUUGCCUCUAACCUCAUAACCUUCCCAUUGUUUCCUCAUAACCUUCCCAUUGUUUCAGUUGACAUGUGGUAUCCUGCUAUUGUAGGAAUCUAACCCUGGGCCUGGAAGAUGUCCUGGUCUCCUAAAUCCUACUCUGGCCUUAAUAAGCAAAGCCAUCUUGUUUACUGUCAGAAUAGCAAGUGCAAUACUGUAUAGCAAUUUUAUUACGAGUGCCUGAAAUUUAUCACAUUGCUAAAGUGAUAGAAAAGAUUUGAUUCAGAAAAGAAGAGUAGCUUCAUAGAUAUAGGAAAUAUCACAGAAUCAUAGAGUUGGAGGCCAUCUAGUCCUUGUAAGUCAUCUGGUCCAAUGCUUUGCUUGAUGGCAUAAAAUUGAAGCAGGGCUACAGUAUCCUUGACAAAUGGCAGUGCACUCUCUGCUUGAAGACCUCCAGUAAGAGAAAGCCCCUGCUCCUGGUUAUUAGUUUCAUUGUCAAAUUGCUCUUAACUAUUAAGAGGUUUCAACUGGUGUUCCACUGAAAUCCCCCCUCCUGUAACUUAAGCCCAUAAGAUCUACUCCUGCCCUCCAGGGCAACAGAGAAGUGCCCGCCCUCUACUUGUCAAUAUGCCAAGAACAUUUUUGCCUCUCUUCAGAAGUCUCCUGUAGUGACAUCUGGCCAGCUGCCUGCACUGCAGCUGCAGUGACCUUUCAGGAAGAAUUGCCUGCAGUUUUUAAUUAUUUCAUGUUCCUUCCUUUUAUACACUUCAGGGAGACUUUUGCCCGAUAAUGAAAAAAGCAGCAUUUAAAAACAAAUGGACAAUCAAAAUAGCUGCACAAUCUACCUGGUUGUGCUGCUGUAUUUCAAGCGGGUGGGUGAGUUGUCCAUUCAAAUGUGAAAAAUGACACCGUACACAUUGAAAAACUGACAGCCAAAAAGACAAGUUCUACAUGGUACAGUACUUCCGAAAAACCCUCUAGGAAGUUUGGCUCCUUCAAAGUCGAGAUCACAAAGCUGAAGUAAAUAAUGCAUGCUUUUAUGAGGAAAUCUCUCAUGUUGCCUUGGGAAGAACCAUUCUUUAUAUUAAUGAGUCAAACAGAGAGAACAGAGUUGAAAGCCAGAACUAUAGAGUGAAAGGCAGUGGGCUGAGGGGUUUCUCCCCACUUACCCUCUUUCAAAUGCCAGUGAAAUACAUGGAAAUGCAGGUUCAAUGCAUAAUCUGUACUGGAAGUGGGGAACUACAGACAUUAUUGGCAAAACGAAGCAUGAUUUUAAUAGUCAUUAAGGAACAAGAAUGGAAAUCAGAACAGAAAAUUUAACAAAAAGCUAAAAUGCAGUGCCAGUUGUCAGGCUUCUAAGUAUUUCCUUUUCAUUCUGUCUUUUAAACUGCUUCUUCUUCAAUAUAUGUGGAUAGAUAUAUUUAUGGUUUUACAGAAUGUAUAGCAAAACAAACAAAAGUGAAUAAAAAACAGUUAAGCUCAAAGAAGAAACACUGAUAUAUUCAUUACUUCCGUAAAUCACUGUACAGCAAUCACAAGGUAAUUACUUACCUAUCUAGAUGCAUAGUUAAGAAGUCCAAAAAGGAGAUUUCACAGUAGGAAACAUAUUUAUAAAGAGAUGCCGCAGUAAGAGGACCAAUUUCCGCGUAAGAAGCGAAGGGAUGCUAUUUGCUAUAAUAGGCAUUGGGCUUGGCUAAUCCCUAGGAAAGAGUUGGUGGGCUGAUUUCUCUAUAAUUGCCUUGUCACAAGCGCUGUAAUGGCAUGCUGCUAAAGUUGUGGAUUUUCAUUCUUUUGCCAAUUCCAGCUCUGUAGCUUCUAAUAAGGAUAUCAUUAAUUUUUUAUGCAGCAUCAUCUGGGAAAGUACUCAAAAGAGCUAACCUAGGGUAGUAUUCAGUUAAGUUUUACCCAGAGUAGAGCCACUUAAAUUAAUGGACCUAAUUUAGCUGUUUUCAUUACCGGUAAUUUCAGUUGGGCUACUCUGAGUAAAAUGUCGUUGACACUGAGGAUCUAGGUUAAGCUGAUGAGGAUUCUUCCCAAUUUUGUAGGUAACAUUCAGAAUUUAUAUGCCUUCUACUUAUAAUACAGGGUGUCUGAAGAAUCUUGGCUUUUCCAGGACUUACUUGAGAAUGUUGUGAUGGUGAUGACAUCAGUGGGUUGUACCAGUUGCUGCUACCAACUCAACAGCUCUGCACCUACACAUCUGGGCACCUGGUUCCCAUCUGUAUUCAGCAACACUGUGCAGAGGAAGCUAGCAGUCCUUCAACAUACUUACACAUGGGCCAUUACAUGAGUUUUGUGAAUUAUUUUGUUUUGACUGUCUUGGCUCUACUUCCAGUCCAUUUUGUUGGAUGUUCGCAGGCUCUAAUACUCUCUAUCCAGUUUAGUGUUAAACACUUAUGCCACAUUCUUUUCCUUUGCCCUUUUCUGAAUCUUCUUGAGCUCCACUGUAUCCUUUCUGAGGGAGGGCAUCCAAAACGACAUAGUUUUGCAAAUUUACCUGCACCAUAGAUUUAUUCAGAGGCAUUUUGAUACUGCCACCCCUCCCCCAGUUCCUUUCCCAAUGAUUCCUCACAUAGAUUUCACCCUUUUCACUGCCACUACAUAUUGAGUUGACAUGUAGCUGAUUUACCAGGUAAACCAGUACCCUCUUUGCAUCUCCUCUUGCUCCUUACAGGUCCCUUCACCUUUUUAGGAGUUUCCUCCAACUUUUCUUGUCACUAGACUAUUGUUUUAAAUCAGGCCUUAGCACUUUCACUAGACCACCAGAACUCUGUCCCUCUCUUACUGUGGGUCUUAUCUUUGCUUCAUGCAGCCAUGCCCAGAACAGUCACCAUUCUUAUUUGAACAUAGUGAAAGUGCAAGAUACAUCAGUUACACCUGAUAGUGGGAACUUCUCUCUUGGAUAACGGGAAGAAUGCAUGUUUUGUCCCAGCUUUUACUAACAUCGGAAUCCAAUUUACACUGAGCUAAACCAUUGGUCCACCUAGUUCAGUGCUGUGUACACUGAUUGGCAGUGGUAAUUUAGAGUUUCAGAAACAGUUCUUUCUGAGAACUGCCAGGGAUCGAAUCUGGAAUCUUAUGCUUGUAAACCACGUGCUUCUAACUUUCAGGGCUCUUAUUUUUCUGCACAUUUGCAGAGUAUUUGCUUUGAUUUUCAUGUUUUUAUCAAGAUUCUGGGAGCUCAAGAAUGAUCAUAACAAUAUGUCUACAUGGAAUCUGGCAAUUCCAUAUUAGAACUUCUAGCUUUGAUAAUCCCGGGUGCUUCUUCAACCACACUGCUAAUUCCAACACUCAGCUAUUGCAGUUUGUGUCUUAUUGGAGCUGAAUAUGCCUGCAUUUUCCACUGAAGUACUUACAUUUGUGCUCAAUUUUAAGCUAUGCAUUUAAACAAAUUUGUGAUGCUUGGUUUGAAACCAGUCUCCAUUAAGGUGUUCUUGAUGUGAUAAUAUUAACUUUUGUAGCUGAGUGAUUGGUUGGUUUUAAGAUUCAUUGUAUUCAAUAAGGUUUGGCUGUGAUGCAUAAUGGAAAAUGAAAGGCAGUCCUAACAGUUUCCUGUUAUAUAGAAACCUACCGUCUGUUUCAUACCGAGAGGCCAAUUGGGUAUCAAUCAUUAAUUUUUGUCGGUUCAUCUUUCAUUUCAUGCUGUGUCUAGCAAGACUUGAUUUAAAUGUUUGAGUAAUUUGCAUUCUUCCUUCCCACUUCCAGCACUUCAUAAUUGCUUUUUAUGCAGACAUACCUUUAUUCACAGAUUUUGCAAUAUGUUUCUUCAAGAGAUAGUUCGCAAGAAAUUCCAGCUUGCCUUCUUCUUUGACCAGCCUCAUUCCUUUAAAUAGACACAGAUAGAUUUCUGGGAAAUGGUUACAAUAUCUCAAACUCUUUUAAUGAUAAAUGUGAUUUGUACAUGUUUCAGUUGUUUAAAUAAGUUUGUGAAUAUGCACCAUGGCCAGCUGUCAUGUACAUUAAUUGUUCAACUUACAUUCACUUUUAACAUAUCUGAUUAGGGCAGUUGAAGGUUAGGAUUCAGUUGAAGGUUAGACACUUAAUUAGCCAAUUUAACUGAUUAUAUGAGGGUUUGGUUUCACCAACUGAAAGCUACAAAUCUAUUUUGUGGGAUAUUAAUGAAGGUUACAAAACUUUCUGAUUUUAAAUAAUAGGGUUUUUAAAAACAAAACCAGGGUUGGGAACCUUUGGCCCUCCAGGUUGGACUUCAACCCCAGCCAGCCUGAUCAGUAUCAGGAAUGAUGGGAGUUGGAGUCUAUCCACAUCUGGAAGACCACAGGUUCCCCAUCCCCGUUUUAGAAAAUGUCUUCAAACGAAUUUCCAGAAUUUAAGAGCUAUUCAUAGGGUGUGUGCAAACAUGGCACCAGGCCUGCAAAUCUGGCGCCAUUUUUGAAGCCUCUUCACAGGUGGCAGUUCUGCUUAGAAACAGACUAAACUUCAAUAUUUUCAAUUUGUGUUUAAUGUUGUGUCUAAUUAAUACCUUCAGCCUUGUUAACUACCAGACUGCUUUAUUUUUCCAUGUUGUUUUUAAAGCAUGGGAUUUUGAAAUUAAAUUUAAAAAUGC